GUGGUGCAGGUGACGAACGAGCAGCACUCGCUCCCAGGGUGGCCCUCUGCUGACGCAGCCCCUGCCCAGCCGACGACGACCCCACAGGUGACACCUGGGUGUGCCAGCACCUGUCCCACUACCGCCGCCUGAGGAGGCAGCCUCACAGGGGCAAGGGCCCUGCCCCCCAUCCUGUGCCCGGAGCGCUGUCCCCAGCCGUCCUACUCCGGGGCCAGGCCGUGGGAAUUUGAACCAAGGAUGAGAUCAGGCCGCCAGAAGCCAAGGCCGGCAUAAGCCGGCAGCUUUAAUGGGGUGCUCUGUCUUCCCCUGGCGGUUGCAUCUCCUGGGGAUGACUCUGGAAGACGCCGAGUCAGCACCGGGUGGGGCGGGGGCCACAGCAGACCAGCAGCCAGCACUCUGCAUGGUGGCCUCAGGGCCUGCGAGCUUCCACCCGGGGGACACCACGGCUGGAGGGCAGCGUCCCCGCAUGCUCCCCUCUUCUGUGCUGCUCUCCCCAGAGCACCCAGGGUGGGAAGACUCUCCUGCUCAUCCCGGGCACAGUGGCGUGCUGCCGUUGGCACUGAGGUCCCAGCCCAGCCCGAGACAUGCAUCCUCUGCUCUGGGGCCGGAGCUCCUGCAGCCCGUGCUGCCCUCCAGCUGCCGCCCGGGGCUCCUCCAACCUGGGGGGCCGAGGCCCCGUCACCCUGCAAGCCCUUGGUCACAGUCUCUUAGGAAUUUAGGAAGCAUGAACUGCCAUGGUCCAGAGGAAAGGGGUUUGCUGACAGGCCAGCACUGGGGGCGCAUUUUAAUCCGCCCCACCCAGGGGGUGCCCCCACCUUCCUCAACCUUCAUCAGCUGUUGAGGUCAGAGACGUAUUAGAUCUGCUCUUCCCUGCAGGGAGGCAGGCACACUUGUCUCUGGAGCUUCUAUUCCCAUAAACCAACCCUUCAUUUCUCAUGUGAAUCCACUUUAAUUACAAAGCUAAAUAAUGAGAAGGAAAUAUUAAAAUUAAAAAAAAAAAAAGAAACCCUACACAAAGCGAGUUUGCUUGUGCCGGCCACUGGCUCUGAGAGCCAAGGCACAGAGCGGGGAUGGCACCACGCCAGUCACUAAAAGCAUGAGUGUCACUAAAUCAAUAAUUCAUUUACUUUAAUGAGAUAAGUACUUUGAAAACUAAUUGCAAACCUGCUCCAUUUACUCCGACCCGUUAUAGCCCUUAAUGUAAAUCGCAGAACCAUCGCUGUGGGAAGGAGAAAGUCUUUAGGUGGAAGACACCAUGUCAUCUCCCCUCCUUCCCCUCCUAAGAAAGAAAAAAGUUCUCUACGGGGGGGGGGGAAGGUGGGGGAAUGUGGGGACCCCAGGGCUCUGUCCCUCUGCCUGCCCAGCGCCACACCUCCAGCCUCAGAGGUGAUUUGGUGCUUCCACUGUGAGACGGGGAAUCAUCAGGAAGACACGACACCAGCAACACCAGACGCUGGGAAACGACUGUCCCGGGGCCUCCGGAGACACUCAGCCCUUGGGUGCUCCACGCAGCUUCUCCUCAGAGCCCUGAGCCUCCGGAGGAGCACCCAGUUCCAGAUAAACCAACGCAGGGUGUCAUUGUCAGCUCAUGCUCGGCAAGUGAAAUCCUGGGGGUCGCCGGUGCGGCCGCCCCAGCCUGCACACGGGGGACUGGGGCUGCGGGGUCACACGCGAAGCCCGAGCACAGCUGCCUGCGCCACCGGCAGGGCCCUGUGGUGAUCAUCGACCUCGGGGCGGGGGUGGGUUGGCUGAGGAGCCAGAGAACCCACGAGGUCAGGGAGAGAGGCCCGAGCUCUCCUCUGUCCUUGGCUAGUGUUUUGGGCAAAGAAAAGCAGGGAAGGUGCAUUUUUCAGCUUCUUACAUGGGAGAGUUCUGAAUCCUCUUUU
rnacentral:lncRNA from 1 species